CAGGAUUGAAUGAUGAACUCAUAGUUCAGCAGAGAACUAAUGAAGAAUUUAUGCAAGUCUUUCGCUCCUGUCUGACAUUUCCU